CCUACGGGUGGCAGCAGUGAGGAAUAUUGGUCAAUGGUCGGGAGACUGAACCAGCCAAGCCGCGUGAGGGAGGAAGGUACAGAGUAUCGUAAACCUCUUUUGUCAGGGAACAAAGGCGGGGACGUGUCCCCGGAUGAGUGUACCUGAAGAACAAGCAUCGGCUAACUCCGUGCCAGCAGCCGCGGUAAUACGGAGGAUGCGAGCGUUAUCCGGAUUUAUUGGGUUUAAAGGGUGCGCAGGCGGUCUGUUAAGUCAGCGGUCAAAGCCCGGGGCUCAACCCCGGCCCGCCGUUGAAACUGGCAGUCGCGAGUUGGAGAGAAGGAUGCGGAAUGCGCGGUGUAGCGGUGAAAUGCAUAGAUAUCGCGCAGAACUCCGAUUGCGAAGGCAGCAGGCCGGCUCCACACUGACGCUGAGGCACGAAAGCGUGGGUAUCGAACAGGAUUAGAUACCCUGUAGUC
rnacentral:rRNA from 1 species